UACAGAGGGGGCAAGCGUUGUUCGGAAUUACUGGGCGUAAAGGGCGCGUAGGCGGUGCUCUAAGUCGGAUGUGAAAACUCUGGGCUCAACCCAGAGCCUGCAUCCGAAACUGGAGUGCUAGAGUUCUGGAGGGGGUAGCGGAAUUCCUGGUGUAGCGGUGAAAUGCGUAGAUAUCAGGAGGAACACCGGUGGCGAAGGCGGCUACCUGGACAGAAACUGACGCUGAGGCGCGAAAGCUAGGGGAGCAAACAGG
rnacentral:rRNA from 1 species